rnacentral:rRNA from 1 species
UGCAGUCGAACGGCAGCGCGGGGCAGCCCUGGUGGCGAGCGGCGAACGGGUGAGUAACACAUCGGAACGUACCCUGGCGUGGGGGAUAACACAUCGAAAGAUGUGCUAAUACCGCAUACGACCUGAGGGGGAAAGGGGGGGAUCGCAAGACCUCUCGCGGCUGGAGCGGCCGAUGUCGGAUUAGCUAGUUGGUGAGGUAAAGGCUCACCAAGGCGACGAUCCGUAGCUGGUCUGAGAGGAUGAUCAGCCACACUGGGACUGAGACACGGCCCAGACUCCUACGGGAGGCAGCAGUGGGGAAUUUUGGACAAUGGGGGCAACCCUGAUCCAGCCAUUCCGCGUGAGUGAAGAAGGCCUUCGGGUUGUAAAGCUCUUUCGGCAGGAACGAAACGGUGCGGGCCAAUACCCUGCAUCAAUGACGGUACCUGAAGAAGAAGCACCGGCUAACUACGUGCCAGCAGCCGCGGUAA